UAUUGCUUCAGUAGAGACCACACAUUCGACUUCGACUUGUAUUGCGAAGCCCAGCGUCCUGAUUAGGAAUUCUUUUUGCUGGCUUCUGUCUGGAGGUGCCAUCCUGGAGUUUGAUUUUCAAAACCAGAGCCUUGCGGUUAUCCAGAAGCCGGCGGACGCUCAUGCUGCCGACUACUACUGGUCCUUUUACGUGGUACAGACAGAGCAUAGUAGCCUGGGCCUUGCUGUUUUGUCAUAGACAGAUUUUGUAAGCAACAUCAUCCAAUUAUGGGAGAGGAAAUCUAACUGCGAUGGUGUAGUUGGAUGGGAGCUGCAGAAAACCAUUCAACUAGACGGGCUCUUUUCACCAGGACCGACCAUGGGGCAAAAUGCGGUGAUGAUGCAAGGGUACGAUGAGGACACCAAUGCGAUUUUCUUAUCUACCUUUUUCGGCAACUACAUGCUCCAGCUUGAGACCACACAGUUCACAAAUCUUUUUAAAGCACGAAGAAAUUGCAUGUCUAGCAGGACCUUUUAUCCCUACAGAAAUUUCUACAUUACAGGUAGCAGAGUUGGUGGUCAAGAUGGUGGAGCUGAAAUGUCAAUUAAUUAGAUGAUUGUCCCAUUAGGCUUGUGCUUUGGGGAAUUCAGAUGCAAUGCAAGCUGCUUCGUGGAGCCACCUUAUUGUUCUUUUGACUGGGUGGCGGGCCACAUGCUCAAAUUAGUGACAUCUCAGAGAUGGUCACCACAGACCUGACAAUUUCAUUGUAUCUAAGCUGCAUUAGUACUGACUGUUGUUUCAUGUUUUAUUGUUUGCUCUGAAUUGUCGAGCUGGUAGACUGAAAUAUGCUGCAAGCCCUGCAGAUUAGCUAUUUAACUAGUAGGAACUCAGUGGCUGCAUGUCAGACCGCUUCAGUUCUUAUGUCAUGUCCUAGCAAGUGUGUACUGUUUCAAUGGAGUAAUGAGUGGAACUGCCAAUAUCUUUCAGAUUUGAACUCCUUCCUUUACUAGUUUUUAUAGUUUUAGUUAUGAAAUGAUUAGAACUAAUGUUGCUGUAACAGCAAGCAUGAUGCAGCAUGAACACUAAAGAAUAUAUCCAUAGUUAUGGUCUCAAGGAACUGGUAUAGAGUUCUCUUAAGAAAGAUUUUUUUUUAAUGAAAAGUUUAGUGUGAAUGGGGUGUAUCUUCUCAGAUUUGUUUGCCCACCUCUAUAUUUUAACUUGCAGGCGGCACCCAUACAUUGGCCUUCUGUCUUUGUUUGUCCUACUGAAAUACUAGUUUCUUUCAGCUCCUUGCUUUUCACUGACUCACUAUUUUUCAUGUUGAUCAGAGAAAUGUUUAACUUAUUUGCCUUGAAAAGAAUCAGCCAUCAUCCGUGCCAUGAUGAGUAGAUCUUU